rnacentral:rRNA from 1 species
AUUGAACGCUGGCGGCAUGCCUUACACAUGCAAGUCGAACGGCAGCACGGAGCUUGCUCUGGUGGCGAGUGGCGAACGGGUGAGUAAUAUAUCGGAACGUACCCUAAAGUGGGGGAUAACGUAGCGAAAGUUACGCUAAUACCGCAUACGAUCUAAGGAUGAAAGUGGGGGAUCGCAAGACCUCAUGCUCGUGGAGCGGCCGAUAUCUGAUUAGCUAGUUGGUAGGGUAAAAGCCUACCAAGGCAUCGAUCAGUAGCUGGUCUGAGAGGACGACCAGCCACACUGGAACUGAGACACGGUCCAGACUCCUACGGGAGGCAGCAGUGGGGAAUUUUGGACAAUGGGCGAAAGCCUGAUCCAGCAAUGCCGCGUGAGUGAAGAAGGCCUUCGGGUUGUAAAGCUCUUUUGUCAGGGAAGAAACGGUGAGAGCUAAUAUCUCUUGCUAAUGACGGUACCUGAAGAAUAAGCACCGGCUAACUACGUGCCAGCAGCCGCGGUAAUACGUAGGGUGCAAGCGUUAAUCGGAAUUACUGGGCGUAAAGCGUGCGCAGGCGGUUUUGUAAGUCUGAUGUGAAAUCCCCGGGCUCAACCUGGGAAUUGCAUUGGAGACUGCAAGGCUAGAAUCUGGCAGAGGGGGGUAGAAUUCCACGUGUAGCAGUGAAAUGCGUAGAUAUGUGGAGGAACACCGAUGGCGAAGGCAGCCCCCUGGGUCAAGAUUGACGCUCAUGCACGAAAGCGUGGGGAGCAAACAGGAUUAGAUACCCUGGUAGUCCACGCCCUAAACGAUGUCUACUAGUUGUCGGGUCUUAAUUGACUUGGUAACGCAGCUAACGCGUGAAGUAGACCGCCUGGGGAGUACGGUCGCAAGAUUAAAACUCAAAGGAAUUGACGGGGACCCGCACAAGCGGUGGAUGAUGUGAAUUAAUUCGAUGCAACGCGAAAAACCUUACCUACCCUUGACAUGGCUGGAAUCCCCGAGAGAUUGGGGAGUGCUCGAAAGAGAACCAGUACACAGGUGCUGCAUGGCUGUCGUCAGCUCGUGUCGUGAGAUGUUGGGUUAAGUCCCGCAACGAGCGCAACCCUUGUCAUUAGUUGCUACGAAAGGGCACUCUAAUGAGACUGCCGGUGACAAACCGGAGGAAGGUGGGGAUGACGUCAAGUCCUCAUGGCCCUUAUGGGUAGGGCUUCACACGUCAUACAAUGGUACAUACAGAGCGCCGCCAACCCGCGAGGGGGAGCUAAUCGCAGAAAGUGUAUCGUAGUCCGGAUUGUAGUCUGCAACUCGACUGCAUGAAGUUGGAAUCGCUAGUAAUCGCGGAUCAGCAUGUCGCGGUGAAUACGUUCCCGGGUCU